UUUGCGAAAGUAUUUGAGUUACGAGUACAAAUACUGCUUCCAUAAAAGUAUUUAACUACAAAGUAUUUGAAUACUAAAAAGUAUUUACAAAAUCGAAUACUGCCCAGCUCUGAAUUAGUUAAACCGAAUGGAUUACCGAAACUAACAACUACAUCAGAAUGUUAAUAUUACAUAAUAUUGACGACCUUAUACCAUUAUUUGACAAUACAAAAUCAUUUACCAAAGAACACAUUACGUUUUUGUAAUUCCAUGCAUGUACAAACAGUGAUCUUAAAGUUGAAGAUGAGUUAAACGCACAUUAAUUCCAAAGAGCUUUUUUAUUGAAUCUCCCCUCCAACAUACCUUUAGUUUUGUACGAACAUAUUGUCUUCCAUUCAUAAGAGUGAUUUCAAGUGCCAGAGCUAUAAGCUACUGAAUACAAGAAGAAUGAAACUAAAUACCAUGAGCACUGUAGGAGUAGUUAAGGCCUCGGAUGAACGGCCAUGCAGCAAAAGUGGCUGCACAGGCAAUUCUUACUUUUCUUUAGAAAAAUUGGUCGGGGGUGCAUUUCCUUGGCUCGCCUACCAUAUCUCUAGGAGGGAUACCUAGUUACACAAAUGAAAAUAAUAGAAGCACAAAUGAUUCCAAUAGCUUUUUGUCAAAAAUAGUAAGAUUGGGUGGAGGUCACAUAUAUUUGACGCCGCCCACUGUUUUUUUGCGAAGGAGAAUAGCACAAACGAUAAUAAUUGCAGCACAAACGAAGUACAAACGAUUACAACAGAUUUUUUGAAAAUAGUAAGUUUGGGUCGGGAUCGCAUUUCUUGUCCCCGCCCACCGUUUCUCUGGAGAGUAGCACAAACGAAAAAAAUUUCACACACGCGACACACGAUUCCAGUGGUUUUUUUUAAAUAGCAGCAAUGGGUGGUGCUGUGAAAAUCGACCUUAGAAGAUAUGUUUAAAUAUAUU